UACGGAGGGUGCGAGCGUUGUCCGGAAUCACUGGGCAUAAAGGGUGCGUAGGCGGCUUGUUAAGUCAGGGGUGAAAGUUUUCGGCCCAACCGGAAAAUUGCCUUUGAUACUGGCGAGCUCGAGUGCGUGAGGGGUAACCGGAACGAGCAGUGUAGCGGUGAAAUGCGUAGAUAUUGCUCGGAAGGCCAACGGCGCAGGCAGGUUACUGGUACGCAACUGACGCUGAGGCACGAAAGCGUGGGGAGCAAACAGG
rnacentral:rRNA from 1 species